AAUUAUAAAAAAAUACAAAAAUACUGAAAUAAGCGUAAUCGUAACCACAAGUCGCGACCCAUCAAAAAAAUUUCGCAACUAUGGUUUGGGAAACGCUGAUCUAUACUGUAUCCACGAAUUAAGAUAAUAUACCCACUGCUGUAGAUACUACUAUAGCCGUAGAUAUACCUACUCCGUCCGUGAUGGGGUGAUUAUUGUUAUGUGGUAUUGGGGGAUACUGUGAUAGUGGUAAUAGUUGAAUUUUUUUAGGUUAUGUUAAUUUAUCGUUUAUUUGAAGUCCGUAGAUGAUACAAUGAGCCAUAAGCGAAGGCGAUAGUGUUUCGUACCGUUUUGCUUUAUUUGACUUUAUUAUAAUAUCGUGAUUCGUGAUGCAUUUUAUGUAUUUAAUAUUUAUGCUAAUUCCUUUUUCUUCUUGAAGUUGUUAAUGUUAGGUAAGAAUUAGGUAUUUACAAGGUACAAACUAUAACUCUGCGCAUUUGCUUGAAAUCAUCAUCCGAGAAUACGUUCAAACCGUCUUGCAAUGAGUGAAAAACCCUCGCAAA